UUUUAUUAAUGUGAAGUAUAAUUGGUCAGUAUUCCUUACCUUCUUUGAGAAUUUAAGACCUUCAUUUCUUUGUUCUAGGUUGAGACUUGAUAAACAGGAGUCAAAGAAGAGCUUUUUUGCAAAUAUAUUUCACUUUUUUCCUCAAGUGAUUUUCCAUGACUUGAUAUUUACAUCACUGGGCAGCUUGUUGAAUAUGUGGCUGGGUAGUUUUGUUAAGCCGCUUCUUUUUUUUCCCUCCCCCUUCUCCUUUUCUGCUUUUCUCUAUCUCAUAUAGCUUAGUCCCAGUUCCAGAAUGAAGAAGCUGCCUCAGGGUCGCCCUGUGCCUCCCCUUGGACCUGAGACCAGAGUUUCUGUAGUCUGGGUGGAGCGCUAUGAUGAUAUAGAAAACUUUCCCCUCUCAGAGCUGCUGACAGAGAUCAGUACUGGUGUGGAAACUACUGCAAACAGUAGCACUUCUCUGAGAUCUACCACUCUUGAAAAAGAAGUUCCUGUCAUCUUUAUCCAUCCUUUAAACACUGGAUUAUUCCGGAUAAAAAUUCAAGGAGCCACUGGAAAAUUUAACAUGGUCAUCCCACUUGUGGAUGGGAUGAUUGUCAGCAGGCGAGCACUUGGUUUUCUGGUGAGGCAGACUGUAAUUAAUAUUUGUAGAAGAAAGAGACUGGAGAGUGACUCCUACAGUCCACCACAUGUCCGCCGGAAACAGAAAAUCACGGACAUUGUCAACAAGUACCGGAACAAGCAGCUGGAGCCAGAGUUUUAUACUUCACUUUUCCAGGAGGUUUGACUCAAGAACUGCACUUCUUAGAUACUGUCUGUCUAGGACUCUUGAACUCCAGUUUGGGGCUAUGAUAUCAGAGCAAAACAAUUUGAUAGGUGAUCACUGUAAAAAGAAAAACAAAUCACUCCCCAAGAGCUUACUGUUUAAUCACCAGAAUAGAAGAAACACACAAACCCAUUUGAUAGAAGACUUUUGGCUUUCUGGUGAAAUGGGCUCCCAGACACAAUUAUAUUCCUGCUGGUAAUGAUGAUAUACAUUUUAGCCAUAAACUUUCUUUUAAAAGUGACAAUUUUAGUUAAAUAUAAGCCUUUUGAGGAGAAAGGCUUUAUGCAUCUCAUUUAAACACGUGCAUUGGUAGCGUCAAAUUUGCAAAUUAGAAGGUGAAGAUAGUUUUAUACUUCACUUUUUAGGAGGUUAUGUUCAGAAUUGAAAUCUGUCUCAGAAUCUUCCAGGAUAUUUAAAGACUCAUGCUGAUGAUAGCAUGGAGGAGAAGGAAAAAAAUCUCAGCUUUCUGCUCACUUGUAAGUCCAUUUGUCGUCUAGCUGUCCAACGGACAGGAAUGAGCAUAAAUGUGUUUUGUUUAGAUAAGAAGUCUGACAUUAAAAUAUUUCAUGUUUCCUCCACAUUUCACAAAGUUAUCGUCCUCAUUACUGUACAGAUCUAUCUGAAGGCCUCAGUUUCUGGGCAGCCCGGGAGCAGAUCUACAGUGGAGGCAUGGCCCUGUCCUUUAACGGGGACACAGAUGGCAUUUGUGGGGUUAAAAGUUGUAAGACAGCAGCGAUACCUCCACUCUCUCCAUUGCUGUUUGUGGCUUGGGGACAUGAUGACAGGCCAAGCAUUUGUAAUUCCUUGGUAAUUUCUUGGUUAAAUUUUGAGAAAUGUAAGCUCACAACAAGGGUUGAAAAUUAUUUGGUUUCAUCCAUUGUCUCUUAUUUCAGGACCAAGCAGGAAACUGCAGUAGUUUAUGAAGGAUUGUAAUUUGGGGUUCAGGAAAUAGCCUCUCAACACUACUAAUUCAGAUCUCUCCCAGAGAGCUACUGGAUUUCAUCAUAAUUGACAAACGUUAGUGACCACCCCCUAGGGUGGCUGCUCUUAGAAAUGGCUGUUGUGACCAUGUUUUCUGGACCUUUGCCAGCUGAAGGCACAACAAAUCCCUGCCCGGGCUUUGGAAAUACUUCUGUUACCUCACUGCUACUUUUCUGCCAGGGAUAAAUGUUUUGAGGUGGCCAGACCCAGAACAACCUUCCAAGGAUUCCUGUUACAGUGCUAGAGUAUACACUGCUCGUUUCUCCUAUUCUUCUCUCCUUUCUUCUUUAUUAAGAUUAUUUUAUGUUAAGAAAAUAAGUGACAUUUGAAGUCCAAAGAGGAGUCCUCACAGCUGUGUUAAGGGUGGUUUCCCGCGUGAACUCUGGUGUCAAUAGACUCUGUAGGUCAGGGCCGCAAUGGUGUGUUUGGUUUGAUGUUUGGGGAGUUCAUUCGAGGGUCGGGGAUAAUGUAGGGCCUAGUUCCCUGUGCAGAUAUUUCUAUUCCAAACGUAUGUAUUUUGUCAUCUGUGAGCAAGAAAUUUGGGUAUCAUAGCAGCUCUUGGUUUUAAGUUUGUUGUACCCUUUUCUUCAUGUUUGUUUUAAGCUCAGGUAAAGGUUACCUCCUCCUUCAAUGACUCCAGUUUCCAUUCAGGGUAUGAUAUUAUUGAAUAAUUGAUUUUCUUUUUAAUCUGGGCAAUAAAUCAGUGUUUCCAGAUGGUAGCAUGGGGGUAGGGGGUGUAGGAUAAAGAUGAGCAAAUUCUACCCUAAAAAUGUUUUAUUAACUCAGCAAGUAUAAGGUGAGGUUUAACAACUUUCAUGGAAAUUCCAGAUUGACAUUUCAAGGAAAAAAUGGGCCCUUUUUCUAGUGGACAUGAACAAAGAGGGCUUAAAUUGGUAGGCAACUUAUAACAUUCCAGAGGUUAAAAAUAACGGAUGUAGGUAUACUUCCUCGGUGUGAUUCUUCAGAUAAAACUUUUACCUUUAGCAUAGUUUUACUGUCAGCAAAAUAUACUGUGAUGUGCGUGUUGAGGGUAGGCUUCCUGAUCCUUCAGUUUGCUCUAAUUUCUGGCAACUCUUUGUAAUUCUUAUGACUGAUAAGUGAAUAACCGUGUUGAAUGCGGUUUGCAAUCUGGAAGCCUAUGAUCUCCCAGGGAAGGAGGGAUAGAUUUAGAGCUGUGCAGCCCCUGAAGGCAUGAGACCCCAGUGUGUACAGCACAAACAGAAUAUAGAGUACAUAUACCUCGUGAGGUGCUCCUUCCUUCUGCUCAAAAUAACAUUUAUUUAAAAAGGGAGUGCGGUAAGAACCCUUGGAAACUUUUACAAGUAUGGGUUUGAGUUCAUGGUCACUAAGUUCACCCGACUGCCUUUGUCAAAAAUCACUUUGAGUAGAAUAAUGCCAGAGGAGCAUAUUUAGUCGCUAGUAAUAACCUUUAGUAGUCCACUUGAUAAAUUUGCUAGCGUGUUUUCAUAACACUUUGAAGGGAAGCGAGGACCACUUUGGUCCGUGGCUUAAACAGUAAAGUUGCUGCAUGUGACAGGUGUUAUCAGGGUGGAUGAGUGUGGCAUUUGGUGACAAGGAAAGCAUUACCAAGGGACAGAGGCAGGUAGCCCCUCAUAGUCCUUUUUCCCAUUCGGGAGAUGGGGGCUUUCCUCCUCCUUUCUGGUUGGGAGCAUUGACGACAGUGAGGAGGCUUUGCCUUUCCUUGGUCAGCCAGCUACCGCUUUUGUCCCGUGCUUCCUCCUAAGACCUCCUCCUACCUAGCAUUGGCCCUCUGAAAGGAAGAGUUACAUGGUGGAUUCACCCCCUCCUGCCCUGGCCAUACACACCCCCACGCACGCAUGCUCUCCGCCAUUUCCUGGUCCUCGAUUUCAGGGCAGCCCAUUCUCCUCUGGACUCACUUAGAAAUACAAAAGACCUACAUCUUUGGCCAGUAAUGUCAGUUGCCCACAGGUUGUGUGUAUGAGGCCUUUAUGAAUGGUUACUUUCUACAUACUGUGGGGAAGCAUUUGUCAGGCUCUGCAGAGUGAUUUUCAGAGGGACAGUCUUUGGGAGCAUUUAUUUCCGUUGGAAGGUGAGACUUCACCCAAGGUGGAAAUCAGCUUUGCUCAAAGACCUGUUUUGUGGUAGAUAGUAAAGAUGUAUUGGGGGUCAUUUGACACUCCUGCUGGCAGUGGUUCUCCAUUCAGCAUUUUAAAACCCAUUCAGUUUAUAUCUUCCUGAAAAGAAUUGAUUUCUGUGUUUACAUGAUACAAUUUAAGGAUUUCCGUGACAGCCUCUUUCCCCGAGAUGGAGAGAUAGGAGGUAAUCCACCCGCUCAGUGUGGAAUCAAACUGUGGGUUCUCGGUAGCUGAAGAAGCCAUGUACUGUAUAGUGUUUUUCUCAGAGUAUCAACUCACGUUCUUCAGAUGCUUUUCUUUUUUUAAUGGUGAGGGAAAAGGUGUAAUUUGGGAUUCCACAGUGCCUUGCAUAUAGUAGGCGCCCAAUAAAUAUUUGUUGAAGCAAACCAAGUUUCCCAAGUCCUUGCCUCUUGCAGUGACCAAGAACAUCUUUCUCCUCUGAAGGGCUUGGCAGUUGUGGCUAAAAAAUAAGCAGUAUCAUUAUUUGCUUGAAAUCACAUACACAAUUUGUAUGAAUUUCGGUAUGUUGCCAAGACAUGAUCUUUUUCUUAUUGUAUUUUCUGUAAAUAUUUCUGGCACUGAACUGUAAAGUAAAGGCGAAAUGUAAAUACGAAGGUGUACCUGUGUCUCUUGCCUUCUGUGUUUUCUCUUCCUCAGUUAGGGGACAAGGCCCAGAGGCUUUGUUUGUAUUUAUGCCGAUCCUUUGUCCAGAAGAAACCCAUGGAAUAUUGAAUGUAAUACAUUUAGUCAAUUAAAUUUUAAGGAGAUUCUUAUCUAA